rnacentral:rRNA from 1 species
GUGCCAGCAGCCGCGGUAAAACGUAGGACGCAAGCGUUAUCCGGAGUUACUGGGCGUAAAGGGCGUGUAGGCGGCGCUUCAAGUUCGUCGUGAAAGACCCCGGCUCAACCGGGGGAGGUCGAGGGAGACUGAGGCGCUGGAGGACGGUAGAGGGACAGGGAAUUCCGGGUGUAGUGGUGAAAUGCGUAGAGAUCCGGAGGAACACCAGUGGCGAAGGCGCUGUCCUGGGCCGUUACUGACGCUGAGACGCGACAGCAUGGGGAGCGAACGGGAUUAGAUACCCCCGUAGUCC